AGUGAACGCUGGCGGUAGGCCUAACACAUGCAAGUCGAACGGCAGCACAGUAAGAGCUUGCUCUUACGGGUGGCGAGUGGCGGACGGGUGAGGAAUACAUCGGAAUCUACUUUUUCGUGGGGGAUAACGUAGGGAAACUUACGCUAAUACCGCAUACGACCUACGGGUGAAAGCAGGGGAUCUUCGGACCUUGCGCGAUUGAAUGAGCCGAUGUCGGAUUAGCUAGUUGGCGGGGUAAAGGCCCACCAAGGCGACGAUCCGUAGCUGGUCUGAGAGGAUGAAUCAGCCACACUGGAACCGAGACACGGUCCAGACUCCUACGGGAGGCAGCAGUGGGGAAUAUUGGACAAUGGGCGCAAGCCUGAUCCAGCCAUACCGCGUGGGUGAAGAAGGCCUUCGGGUUGUAAAGCCCUUUUGUUGGGAAAGAAAAGCAGCAGGUUAAUACCCCGCUGUUCUGACGGUACCCAAAGAAUAAGCACCGGCUAACUUCGUG
rnacentral:rRNA from 1 species